rnacentral:rRNA from 1 species
GACGAACGCUGGCGGCGUGCCUAAUACAUGCAAGUAGAACGCUGAAGGAGGAGCUUGCUUCUCUGGAUGAGUUGCGAACGGGUGAGUAACGCGUAGGUAACCUGCCUGGUAGCGGGGGAUAACUAUUGGAAACGAUAGCUAAUACCGCAUAAGAGUAGAUGUCGCAUGACAUUUGCUUAAAAGGUGCAAUUGCAUCACUACCAGAUGGACCUGCGUUGUAUUAGCUAGUUGGUGAGGUAACGGCUCACCAAGGCAACGAUACAUAGCCGACCUGAGAGGGUGAUCGGCCACACUGGGACUGAGACACGGCCCAGACUCCUACGGGAGGCAGCAAUAGGGAAUCUUCGGCAAUGGACGGAAGUCUGACCGAGCAACGCCGCGUGAGUGAAGAAGGUUUUCGGAUCGUAAAGCUCUGUUGUAAGAGAAGAACGAGUGUGAGAGUGGAAAGUUCACACUGUGACGGUAUCUUACCAGAAAGGGACGGCUAACUACGUG